AAAGAAAACUAAAGAGGAAAGAGAAAGAAAAAGAAAUAAUUGCAACACACAGCAGAAGGCAAGUGGGAAAUAUUUCAUAAAGUGGACAUAGAUAUACUGCGCAGGUUUGGGACGAUCAAUCGAUUGAAUGGACUGAGGCCAGAGAGAGACGGGGGUGAGGACUGAUAGAUGGACAGACUCAAUCUUAGAUUGGUCUGCACUACACUAUUUUCCGCGAUCUGUUGAGGAUCAGUAGAUUUUGUAUCUGAGAGAAAGGUGAAGAUAGGUUCAAAUGGAAAUAAAAUGAUAAAUAGAAAACAAAAAAAUAGGUUAUGGUAUACAUGCAGAACAAACAAAAAAGAAAGAAAAAGAACUUAGUGCCAUGCUCCUGUGGAUCUAUCCCCAUGCUUUUGCCUUUCUUUGGUUUCGGGUUGUUGGUUCUAUUUUUUGUCUGCUGCUUGAUGACACUUUUCAGAUAAAACAUGGGGCAAGGUGCAAUUUGGGAGGGUAAUAACAUGUUGAGAAACAAAUGAACAAAGUAGGAAAGAAACAAAAAUGCAUGCAGGUUGAAUGGGGUGAGGUCAAUUGGAUUGGUAUCUGUUGUUCCAUAGCUGUUUGCUAUUGUCGUUGAUUUUUGCUUGCAAGGGACAAAAGUGUUCAGUAGUCAGAAGGGGUAUUUUAGUUCACCCGUGAUGAGGAGGUAAACUACGCUGAAGAAGAAAUGUUUAGAAGAAGAAGCAUUUAGAGCAAAGUAAAAAAAAAGUCAAGGCGCGUC
rnacentral:sRNA from 1 species